GACGGAGGAUGCAAGUGUUAUCCGGAAUCACUGGGCGUAAAGCGUCUGUAGGUGGUUCAAUAAGUCAACUGUUAAAUCUUGAGGCUCAACUUCAAAAAUCGCAGUCGAAACUAUUAAACUAGAGUAUAGUAGGGGUAAAGGGAAUUUCCAGUGGAGCGGUGAAAUGCGUAGAGAUUGGAAAGAACACCAAUGGCGAAAGCACUUUACUGGGCUAUUACUGACACUGAGAGACGAAAGCUAGGGUAGCAAAUGGG
rnacentral:rRNA from 1 species